GAUGAACGCUGGCGGCGUGCCUAAUACAUGCAAGUCGAGCGAACAGAUGAGGAGCUUGCUCCUCUGACGUUAGCGGCGGACGGGUGAGUAACACGUGGAUAACCUACCUAUAAGACUGGGAUAACUUCGGGAAACCGGAGCUAAUACCGGAUAAUAUAUUGAACCGCAUGGUUCAAUAGUGAAAGACGGUUUUGCUGUCACUUAUAGAUGGAUCCGCGCCGCAUUAGCUAGUUGGUAAGGUAACGGCUUACCAAGGCAACGAUGCGUAGCCGACCUGAGAGGGGGAUCGGCCACACUGGAGCUGAGACACGGUCCAGACUCCUACGGGAGGCAGCAGUAGGGAAUCUGCCGCAAUGGGCGAAAGCCUGACGGAGCAACGCCGCGUGAGUGAUGAAGGUCUUCGGAUCGUAAAACUCUGUUAUUAGGGAAGAACAAAUGUGUAAGUAACUAUGCACGUCUUGACGGUACCUAAUCAGAAAGCCACGGCUAACUACGUG
rnacentral:rRNA from 1 species